rnacentral:misc_RNA from 1 species
GCCAAUGGGAGCACAUGGAAUCGUCUAGCACUCGGUUAUUGUGUACAAAAUGACAUGGACAAGGCAGUGGAGACGAUGAAGAAAGCAAUCUUGGCUAGUAAGCCAGGGUGGAAGCCACACUUCCACAGUUUGGCUUCCUGUGUGAAGUACUUGCAAUCAAAAGGAGAUACUCAAGGUGAAGAAGAGCUUAAAGAUUUACUUAGGGUGCGAGGUCUCUGCUCGAAAGAAUUUGAGGGGGGUUUAGAUAAGUAUAUUGAAAUUGGAAAUCGCAAGUCCGAGGCACUUAAUGAAACAGACCUUGAGGAGACUUGUUGACACUGGAUGCCUGAUUAUACGAUUCUCUAAAUUUUUAUCAUGAUCACUAAUCAAAACUUUCUACUGCCUUUUAUUAGUUGGGUUUUUCAAUUGCUGCUUCUAAAAGAAUGAUCUCUGCCUCUGUUCUAUAGUUGCAGACUUGGCAGGUAGAAGUAGCAUUCAGUGAUCACUUCUCGGUUCUAUUUUUCGAAAAAUA